rnacentral:lncRNA from 1 species
GUAGAAUCAAACAUGAAUCAUCAAUAAGGAUUGUGUCUUCCUGUGAUAAUCCCACGGUGUUUCUUCACACGGUUUAGACAUGCCCAACCUGUCAACGAGCUUCUUUCUAACCAAUCACAUCUGUUCCUCACUCUAUAUAAGCAGCAGAGAAACAUUUUGCCCUUCCAUGAGAUCCGAGGAGUACUACUGAGAAACACUGCAAGUCCUGAACCACACGAUUUCUCCAAACUCUUUGUGCAAGAAGUACAACAGAUACUUUACCCAACAGAGAGAGAGAGAUGGGAAGGAUUAUUUUGCUGCUGUUUUUGACAGCCACCCUGGCAGGGGUGUCACAGAGUGAGACGGGCUUGCUGAGACAGAAAAGACAGAUUUCUAAUUUCCCCUACCGAAAAAGAUCAGGUACAUCGAGCUCAAUCCAGCUCUACGUCAACCAAAUAUACAACAAUCAAAUAUAUCUUUACCACGUGUACACAGAGCUUCUCACUCUUUUAAUAGUUUUUAUUUAUUUAAAUGUAUUCACCUGUUACUGUUUCUAGGUGGCCUCUGUCGUCAUGGUGGCACCUCUGUCCCUGCCCUGUCCGGAGAACACAUGUUCUGCUUAUGCACAGUUGGUUACGGUGGUAAACACUGUGAGUUAGGUAAGAAACACUCUUUUACAUUUAGACACUUAACAAUUACUGUACCUCUGACACUUUGAAUUGAUGGGGGGGAAGAAACCUUUUCUUGUUAAGAUUCUAUGUGACGUGUGUGUGUGUGUAUUGGACCAUUCACUGGAUCCAUCUAUCUGCUGGUGGGAGUACAGCUGUGCUCUCCACAUACAAACGACUGGACGCUCUAACACACACACACACACACACAGAGUGUGUGUGUGUGUGUGUGUGUGUGUGUGUGUGUGUGUGUGUGUGUGUG